UAUGGUGAGCCGCUUUGUCGGCUUGAAAAGGGAAUCAGGUGAAAUGCCUGGACUGUGCCCGCAGCUGUAAGUUCCAAAGAUGUGUCACAUUCUGUGCCAUUGUCCGUUCGGAUGAGAAGGCGUGACUCCGGAACAAGUCAGAAGACCUGCCAUAGGUAA
rnacentral:ncRNA from 1 species